rnacentral:rRNA from 1 species
CAUACGGGUGGCAGCAGUGGGGGAUAUUGGACAAUGGGGAAAACCUGAUCCAGCGACGCCGCGUGAGUGAAGAAGUAUUUCGGUAUGUAAAGCUCUGUCAGCAGGGAAGAAAGAAAUGACGGUACCUGACCAAGAAGCCCCGGCGAACUACGUGCAAGCAGCCGCGGUAAGACGUAGGGGUCAAGCAUUAUCCGGAAUUACUGUGUGUACAGGGAGCGUAGACGGUGAUGCACGUCUGGAGUGAAAGGCGGGGGACCAACCCCCGGACUGCUCUGGAAACUGUGUAACUUGAGUGCAGGAGAGGUAAGCGGAAUUCCUAGUGUAGCUGUGAAAUGCGUUGAUAUUAGGAGGAACACCAGUGGCGAAGGCGGCUUACUGGACUGUAACUGACGUUGAGGCUCGAAAGCGUGGGGAGCAAACAGGAUUAGAUACCCCGGUAGUC